GGAGAGAUGGCCGAGCGGUCGAAGGCGCACGCCUGGAAAGUGUGUAUACGGCAACGUAUCGAGGGUUCGAAUCCCUCUUUCUCCGCCA
rnacentral:tRNA from 14 species